rnacentral:rRNA from 1 species
GGAGAACAGCAUGGGAUCGCAAGACCUUGCGCUCAUUGAGCGGCCGAUGCCUGAUUAGCUAGUUGGUGAGGUAAAGGCUUACCAAGGCGACGAUCAGUAGCUGGUCUGAGAGGACGACCAGCCACACUGGGACUGAGACACGGCCCAGACUCCUACGGGAGGCAGCAGUGGGGAAUUUUGGACAAUGGGGGAAACCCUGAUCCAGCCAUGCCGCGUGAGUGAAGAAGGCCUUCGGGUUGUAAAGCUCUUUCAGCCGGAACGAAACAGUCACGGAUAAUACCCGUGACUACUGACGGUACCGGAAGAAGAAGCACCGGCUAACUACGUGCCAGCAGCCGCGGUAAUACGUAGGGUGCGAGCGUUAAUCGGAAUUACUGGGCGUAAAGCGUGCGCAGGCGGUUUUGUAAGUCAGAUGUGAAAUCCCCGGGCUUAACCUGGGAACUGCGUUUGAAACUACAAAGCUAGAAGGG